UUAUUUCAAUUUUCUUUCACAAUACUAUUACACUAUAAUUAAAAUUAUUUUUUCUUUAUUAAAUACUAAAACAAAUUUUUAUACAAUUAUUUUUAAUAAUUUAAAAUAAUAAAAAAUAUAAAUUAAUAAAUAAAAUUUAAUCAAUUUAUAUUGAUUUGCACAAAAAUUUUUUCAAUGUAAAUGAAAUGCUUUACUAAAUAAGCUUUAAAUUGCAUUCUAGAUACACUUUCCAGUACAUCUACUAUGUUACGACUUAUCUUACCUUAAUAGUAAGAGUGACGGGCGAUGUGUGCAUAUUUUAGAGCUAAAAUCAAAUUAUUAAUCUUUAUAAUUUUACUAUCAAAUCCACCUUUAAUAAAUAUUUCAAAUUUAUAUCCGUAUAAAUAAAUUUAUUGUAACCCAUUUCUACUUAAAUAUAAGCUACACCUUGAUCUGAUAUAUUUUCUUUUUUAAAAUUAUGAAAAUUAGCAUUCUUAUAAAAUAUUCUAAUAACGACGGUAUAUAAACUGAUUACAAAUUUAAGUAAGGUCCAUCGUGGAUUAUCGAUUAUAGAACAGGUUCCUCUGAAUAGACUAAAAUACCGCCAAAUUUUUUAAGUUUCAAGAACAUAACUA
rnacentral:rRNA from 1 species